GUGAGCGUAGCCCAGAUGGUAGAGCGCUCGCUUAGCAUGCGAGAGGUAUGGAGUUCGAUACCCCACGCCUACU